rnacentral:tRNA from 1 species
UAGCUCAGUUGGUAGAGCAUGGUGUUUGUAACGCCAGGGUUGUGGGUUCGAUUUCCAC